AACGAACGCUGGCGGCGUGCUUAACACAUGCAAGUCGAACGCGAAAGGGUUCUUCGGGACCUGAGUAGAGUGGCGCACGGGUGGGUAACGCGUAAGUUAUCUACCUCGGCAUCUGGAAUAACUCACCGAAAGGUGUGCUAAUACCGGAUACGUUGAGUAAUCAAGAAAGGUGGCCUCUGAAUAUGCUACUGUGCUGAGAUGAGCUUGCGUACCAUUAGCUAGUUGGUAGGGUAAUGGCCUACCAAGGCGACGAUGGUUAGCGGGUCUGAGAGGAUGAUCCGCCACACUGGAACUGGAACACGGACCAGACUCCUACGGGAGGCAGCAGUGAGGAAUAUUGCGCAAUGGGGGCAACCCUGACGCAGCGACGCCGCGUGGAUGAUGAAGGCCUUCGGGUCGUAAAAUCCUGUCAAGUGGAAAGAAGUGCAUGGUGGCUAAUAUCCAUCAUGUUUGACGGUACCACUGAAGGAAGCACCGGCUAACUCCGUGCCAGCAGCCGCGGUAAGUAC
rnacentral:rRNA from 1 species